UGCAUCCAAAAUACUUUUGGCAUUGAUGUGAAGGGGGGACAGCGUCGGAGGCGGAGGGACGUUCCAAGGGGGCGGCUGCGUGCGACGGCUGACGUUUAGUGCCUGAGUACUCGAAAAGCCGAGCGAGAAAGGAUGAUAAGGUGCGGUGAAAGAUGACCAUGCCGUCGACAAUGCCACGUCAGCGGGGAUUGUUCGCUGCUCCCAUCGCCCGCUGCAGAUAGAAAGAACAACAUUUCAACAUGUUGGCAACAACGGAAUAGGAAAGACGAAGCUGCAGCAAGUUGGUCCUUGACACAGAUCUUUUUGGUCACAUGACAACGAUGGAGUAUGGCUGAAACGUAACUGCAGGCCUUCAGAAACAAUUUCAAGCGGUAUCAACAACUAGCGCUAUCCACGAAUUCGACGGAAUGACCGCCUUAGGUCAGUAGGAUGAAGAUGAAAUCUGUCCAACAAAUGGCCGUCUCAGGCCAAUCAAGACGGCGUGCACAUACGCUUAUAUUAUCAUAAAAACGUCAGGCCUAACGGGGCGCAAGCUUAUCUCGAAAACCGAAAGCUGGCAAGUGCAUCCGAUCGACAUCAAUAAUUAACUCAUGAGGGUGAUCAAGCUAGUAAUUAUAUUAGCUUCAAAACGAGAGGCAAAGGCCGCUGUGCCUUCGAACGUUAUACCCAAUAAGACGAAGAGGCUAUUCAAAACUGACCUUGAAAAACCAUCGAACUUGUACAUUCGCAAUAUAUUUUUUUGUGCGUUUUGCUUCGUUCUGCGGCUGAUGCCAAUUUCAGUUUUCUAGAUAACUCAGGCACCGUGUAAUUAAAAGUCGAUAACUAACA